UGGGGAAUAUUGGACAAUGGGGGGAACCCUGAUCCAGCCAUGCCGCGUGUGUGAAGAUGGCCUUAUGGUUGUAAAGCACUUUAAGCGAGGAGGAGGGUACUGGUAUUAAUACUACCAGGUACUGGACGUUACUCGCAGAAUAAGCACCGGCUAACUCUGUGCCAGCAGCCGCGGUAAUACAGAGGGUGCGAGCGUUAAUCGGAUUUACUGGGCGUAAAGCGUGCGUAGGCGGCUAAUUGAGUCGGAUGUGAAAUCCCCGAGCUUAACUUGGGAAUUGCAUUCGAUACUGGUUAGCUAGAGUGUGGGAGAGGAUGGUAGAAUUCCAGGUGUAGCGGUGAAAUGCGUAGAGAUCUGGAGGAAUACCGAUGGCGAAGGCAGCCAUCUGGCCUAACACUGACGCUGAGGUACGAAAGCAUGGGGAGCAAACAGG
rnacentral:rRNA from 1 species